UACAGAGGUCUCGAGCGUUAGGCGGAAUCACUGGGCUUAAAGCGUGUGUAGGCGGAUCGGUAAGUACCUUGUGAAAUCCCACAGCUUAACUGUGGAACUGCUUGGUAUACUGCCAGUCUUGAGCCACUUAGGGGCUACCGGAACAAAUGGUGGAGCGGUGAAAUGCGUAGAUAUCAUUUGGAACGCCAAUGGUGAAAACAGGUAGCUGGGAGUGUGCUGACGCUGAGACGCGAAAGCCAGGGGAGCAAACGGG
rnacentral:rRNA from 1 species